UACGUAGGGUGCAAGCGUUGUCCGGAAUUAUUGGGCGUAAAGAGCUCGUAGGCGGUUUGUCGCGUCUGCUGUGAAAACUCGAGGCUCAACCUCGGGCUUGCAGUGGGUACGGGCAGACUAGAGUGCGGUAGGGGUGACUGGAAUUCCUGGUGUAGCGGUGGAAUGCGCAGAUAUCAGGAGGAACACCGAUGGCGAAGGCAGGUCACUGGGCCGCAACUGACGCUGGAGGAAGCGGAAAGCAUGGGGAGCGAACAGG
rnacentral:rRNA from 1 species